rnacentral:rRNA from 1 species
GAUGAACGCUGGCGGCGUGCCUAAUACAUGCGAGUCGAGCGAACAGGCGAGGAGCUUGCUCCUCUGACGUUAGCGGCGGACGGGUGAGUAACACGUGGAUAACCUACCUAUAAGACUGGGAUAACUUCGGGAAACCGGAGCUAAUACCGGAUAAUAUAUUGAACCGCAUGGUUCAAUAGUGAAAGACGGUUUUGCUGUCACUUAUAGAUGGAUCCGCGCCGCAUUAGCUAGUUGGUAAGGUAACGGCUUACCAAGGCAACGAUGCGUAGCCGACCUGAGAGGGUGAUCGGCCACACUGGAACUGAGACACGGUCCAGACUCCUACAGGAGGCAGCAGUAGGGAAUCUUCCGCAAUGGGCGAAAGCUUGACGGAGCAACGCCGCGUGAGUGAUGAAGGUCUUCGGAUCGUAAAACUCUGUUAUUAGGGAAGAACAAAUGUGUAAGUAACUAUGCACGUCUUGACGGUACCUAAUCAGAAAGCCACGGCUAACUACGUG